AGAAUGUCUCUGAAAUGAGAUGAGUGGAAAAUGCCUUAAACAGGUGGAUGUGGAACAGGUCGGGGACUUUAAGGACUUCAGUGGAGGAGGGGUGGGUUGGGGAAGGGAAACAAAUGAAGAUGUCUUAGAAGUCACUGCAAUUUAUAUGGAAUCUGUUCAACGCCGACACUGAACCAUAUGAGAAGACGUUUGAAACUAUUGCUUUGCUGAAAACAUCUGACUGCCAGGCUAGGAUGUGACACUUAAGGGACUUACCAAUUUGGGAUUCUUCCAGGAGCUGAAAACUGAUUGCAAAUAUGAAACAGAUUUCACUACAGGACUUGAACCCUACAUUAAAAAACAACAAGCUCCCCAAAAUAAUUGAAAAAGAUCUUCACCAAAGAGUAGCUGCAAUGUGAAUGGCAGGAUAUGAAGCAAGUAAGAGAGCUAUCACUGCCAAAGGCUACUGACUAAUGGUGAAAAGAUUAUCUUAAGCUUGGAAUUAAGUGAUGAAAGGGACCUUCGAAAUUAUCAACUCUAAAUACUUCUUUACAGGAAAAUUGAAAGCAGUUAAGAACCUGCCCCCUACCGUGGAGUUCUUGGUGCCGUGAGUUGGAGUUCUUGGUGCCUGGGUGCGUCCCCAAGGCCACUGGUCUUCAGAUCUUUCUUACUUGAGAAGAACGCCUCCGCCUCCUGGCUCUCCCACCAGUGGUAUUGCCACCACCACACACCAGCAUAAAGCACAGAUUGCUGCCCAGCUCCUUGGAGAGGGGCCAGUGCAUUUGUCAGGAAUUGAAAAGUUUUGGAGCCAGUUCGAGGACUUUCUCCUGCACAAAGUGUUGGCUGGAAGCAUGAUUAUCUCACACAGAGCGUUGGAAUUACUUCAUGAUGAUUUCAAAGAAAAUUUUCUUCUCUAAACACUCUUAUCCCAAGGGCAUCCUAAAGUUCCUCUGGAAUGCAUUGGGUGGGAGAGAAAGUUCUAUGUCAACUCUUCUGGCAGAGGGAAAAGCUGACCGAGGAAGUCAAAAUGAAAGAAAGAAGCAGACAGGACUGAGGCUCCCUGAGAUGCAGAAACUGAGGCACAGAGCAAGGGGCUAGGAUUCUUGACUUUCUUCUGCAGAACACUGAAACAUGCCUCCUCUUUCCUGGCCCCACCAAGCAGAGUUUAGGCUUCAAGAAGACUGAAUGCAUCUGUACAGAGCACAAUCCCUUCUCCAAGAAGGAAACCAUGGGGCUUAUCAAGAAAGGCGUACACUGAAGAGACUGGAAAGUGAAGAUGCACUAUUUGUCAAGAUGUGCCACAGCAGAAGCAAGUUGUGUUGGCAGUAGGAAACAAGAUAAAGAGAAGAACUCAAAGAAUUGAGAGAAGGCUUUGAACAUGAUGAUGGAGAAAUAACACUCUUGGGAGAAAUGAAGAUACUUUCUCCUCCCUGGUUUACCUGAGUUUCCAGCACCCAGUGAUAAGAAAGGAUGGCAUUAGUGAUGUGUACACCUGCAGUGAUAGCUUCACCUUUCUAAAGCAGAUGCCGUGGUAGACAUUUUGCCAGCCCUCCUUUCACUAUACACACAGCUUGGUGUACGCUGGCAGACUUUUGACCUAAUUUCUUAACCCUCAAAUAUUCCAAGACAGAACAAAGCACACAACAAAACCAGAAUGAGGCCGGGCAAAGUGGCUCAUGCCCGUAAUCCCAGCACUUUGGGAGGCUAAGGGGUGGGCAGAUCACUUGAGGUCAGGAGUUUGAGACCAGCCUAGGCAACAUGGUGAAACCCAGUCUCUACUGAAAAUACAAAAAUCAGCCGGGUGUGGUGGCAAAUGCCUGUAAUCCCAGCUACUGGGGAGGCUGAGACACAAGAAUCACUUGAACCCAGGAGGGGGAGUUUGCAGUGAGCCGAGAUUGUGCCACUGCAUGCCAGUCUGAACAACAGAGCAAGACUCUGUCACAAAAACAAACAAAAAACUGAAUGAAUGGAAGCAGAUAAGUGCAGAGAGAAACACUGAUUUACCUUCAGAAAGAUAAAAAAGUAGUAUAUUGAUAUACUUGUAUAUUGCUAUCUACUAGUAUAGCUUCAGUUGGUGUAUGAGUAUAGAACUAUUGGGUUGUUCUUUAUGUGAUUACUCCUUCCCAGUUUUAGUAAAGUAUUCCAAUUUGAGGGAAAUUCUUUCAUUUGUCAAUAAAAUAAAAAGAGGUAAGUUUUAAAAUCUGUAUAGUUCUUCCUUCAUGCUAGUUGCCUCUCUUUUUGAUAUUUCUUCUAUAAAAAUCUUUUCUUACAUUCAGUUUUCAUUGUAUAGAUCAUGAAGGAACCAUAGUGAUUAUCAAAGAUCAGCCGAUAAGUUCAAGGCAGAGUUCCACCUUUCCCCAUGAAGCCCUUCCAGACUUGUUUACAUGUAACACCCUUGAAGGCAAGACUCAUGUCUAUGCUAUCUUUGCUGCUAUUUGGCACGUAUUAGGUGUAAGGGCAAUUAGACCAUAUCAAUUAAUGAUCAGUAAGAAUGGAUAAAGUAGAUGUUUUUGUGAGCCUCUCAAAGAAGAUGUAUAGAAUAUUUUGGAAAUGGGCCCAAUUUGUUUCUAAAGGAAAAUUUACUUUCAAAUUAAAAAAAAAAAAUCACUCAAAUGAGAUUUUGGGGGAUUUCAUAUGAUUAACUCUUUACAUUAUCUUGUGGUAAUUAUACAGAAAUCUGUAUUUAUGUAAACACAGUAAAUGCAUCAUAACACUAGAAUAAGUAUACAAAUACUGCAUGUCAAAUUAGGUUAUAAUCACUUUCAAGGGACGUGAUUUCCUAGCUAAACAGAUUCGUUUACAUUUUGCAAAAUAAAAAAUAAGUGAAAAUAACUAUAUAAAAUCAGGCUUACAGCUGGACAGAUCUUCUUGGCAAUGGUCCAGACACUGAGUAGGGAAAAGCCCCUCCAGCUGAGGAACGUUCAGGACGCUCAGGACGACUUUGCAGGCGCGGCCGGGAGAGAGGCCAUUUUUGGGGUUGCCUUGACUGUGCACCCUGUUCCUGGCUACCUAUGGGGAGAUAAGCUGCAUUCACAUAUCAGAUGAGACUCUUUUUGUGAGAGGUCUGGGGUGGGAUGUGGGAAGUGGAGUGAAAACCUGCUUAGUAGGGGAGGAAAAAAACAAGCAAUCCAACACUUCACCUUUAGGUAAUAAACAUAAUAGAAAAAGUCAGGAAUUCUCUAACUAAAAAGCAGACAGUGGAAGCUAGCAUCGGACUCACUGAAUUUUAGAAUCAGGGUCUGUGUACCAUGGAUUAUCUGGCCCUGCCCUUGUCACUGGAUGAGAAGAUUCUGGCUAUAGGGCAAGAAGCAGUGCUUGGACCGAGAUCCAGAAUGUUACCCUCAAAUCUGAAGCUUAUUUAUGAGAUAAAUAAAGCUCAUAUUUUCAAGAGAGAUAAUUAUUUUAAAACUUCUCAUUUCAAUGUGUACCUUAAAAAAAUAAAUACAUUUUGGGCCAGGUGCGAUGGUUCAUGCCUGUAAUCCCAGCACUUUGGGAGGCCGAGGUGGGCAGAUCAUGAGGUCAGUUUGAGACCAGCCUGGCCAACAUAGUGAAACUCCGUCUCUACUAAAAAUAAAAAUAAAAAAAUUAGCUGGGCAUAGUGGCACGUACCUGUAGUCCCAGCUACUUAGGAGGCUGAAGCAGGAGAAUCGCUUGAACCCAUGAGGCAGAGGUUGUGGUGAGCCCAAAUUGCGCCACUGCACUCCAGCCUGGGCAACAGAGCAAGACUCCAUCUCAAAAAACCAAUCAACCAACCAACCAACAAAAAACAUUUCACAUCUCCCUGACGUAGCCAACAUUUUCUCCAACAUUCUCUUAUUUUGAUGGCAGAAGGGCAUAACUGUAAAUCUCAGUUUUUAUAUGGUAUUGUAUAAUAUAGUGGCAUCCUUUGCGGCCAGUUGAUUGUGAAGAGCAGUUUGCCUUUACUUAGCUUCCAUGAACAUUAGCUUUAAAUGCUCAUUGACAUUAAUGAGAGCCAGUUUGCUAAAUCUGUGUCUCCUUCAUGUUCAUUUGCUACUUAGUUUUGUUGAUUCCAAGAAGUCACUAAUUUUUUUAAAUCAUAGAUUCUGAUUUCGAGGUAGCUUCAUUUUUCUAGUGUUGAGUAAAAUGUGUGUGUGUGUGUGCUUUAGUUUAAUUAAUACUAAUUUUUAUUCAAAAUAUAUUUGUUGAGCACUUACUCUCUGCUGUGGCUGGGCAUACAUUACUUUCUUUCCACAGUCCGUUGGUUGAAUUGUCCUGAGCAGGGGUUGACAAAUGAUGGCCUGUGAGCCAAAUCUACCCCACUGCCUGUUUUUGUAAAUAAAGCUUUAUCAGAACAUA
rnacentral:lncRNA from 10 species